AGCCGGCAACCGGGUAAAUUCAGUUGUCCAUGUGACUUUUGUAAAUUCACACAGCUCUGUUUGCUGAUAAAACUCUGAUAACUUUCACAGAAGAAAUAAGACAACUUGUGUGAUUACCAAUGAAGUAAUAAUGUAGAGUUCAACCACAAGAUAAUUUAUUUGGGAUGAAAUGCAUAUCGUACAGAAAAGUAGGCAAAUCUACGAUAAAUUCCAAAAUGAAGUUUCCGCAAUUUGCAAAACACAAAACAGAACUUUCGAAGAACCUUCCCCUUUAACACAUCCCACGACAUCUGCACUUCAUUAACUAUUAAAGGUCUUGUGUAGAGAUCAGUGACAACAAGAGCCAUAUCUUCAUCCAAGCCGAAGCCCAAAGGUGUCCCAAUGUCGCGGUACCGUGUGUCUUGCAGCAGCCUGUUUUUUAAAUAAGGUCUUGUGUAGAGAUCAGUAACUACAAGAGCCAUAUCUUCAUCUAAACCGAAGCCCCAAGGUGUUCCAAUGUCGCGGUACCGUGAGUCUUGGAGCAGCCUGUUUCAUAAGGUCUUGUGUAAAGGGCAGUAACUACAAGAGCCAUAUCUUCAUCAAAUCCGAAGCCCCAAGGUGUUCCAAUGUCGCGGUUCCGUGUGUCUUGCAGCAGCCUGUUCUCACGAGGUAAAGUCAGCUUAUGCUUUACUUGUUUAAAUCAGGAAUUUGAAUUUCGAACCAACCUAAUCAUACGUGCUUCUCGUCCCAGCUCGCUAAAAUGGCUUUCGGGAAACCAAUUACCUAGGAAUCCCAAACCCCCAUGUUCAUCAUAAGAUAAAUGUCCUGGGUUAUUCGAAUUGAGUCCCUCCACUAAAAGCUCCG